rnacentral:rRNA from 1 species
AUUGAACGCUGGCGGCAGGCCUAACACAUGCAAGUCGAGCGGAUGAAGGGAGCUUGCUCCUGGAUUCAGCGGCGGACGGGUGAGUAAUGCCUAGGAAUCUGCCUGGUAGUGGGGGAUAACGUCCGGAAACGGGCGCUAAUACCGCAUACGUCCUAAGGGAGAAAGUGGGGGAUCUUCGGACCUCACGCUAUCAGAUGAGCCUAGGUCGGAUUAGCUAGUUGGUGUGGUAAAGGCCUACCAAGGCGACGAUCCGUAACUGGUCUGAGAGGAUGAUCAGUCACACUGGAACUGAGACACGGUCCAGACUCCUACGGGAGGCAGCAGUGGGGAAUAUUGGACAAUGGGCGAAAGCCUGAUCCAGCCAUGCCGCGUGUGUGAAGAAGGUCUUCGGAUUGUAAAGCACUUUAAGUUGGGAGGAAGGGCAGUAAGUUAAUACCUUGCUGUUUUGACGUUACCAACAGAAUAAGCACCGGCUAACUUCGUG